ACACUGUUGGUGAAACGGUAUCAUGCGUCGUUGCCACUCUCGGUUCUUCCGGAAAUUCGACGCGGCAAGGGUUCGACUCCCUUACAGUGUA